rnacentral:rRNA from 1 species
ACGAACGCUGGCGGCGUGGAUAAGACAUGCAAGUCGAACGGGAGAAUUGCUAGCUUGCUAAUAAUUCUCUAGUGGCGCACGGGUGAGUAACACGUGAGUAACCUGCCUCUUAGUGGGGGAUAGCCCUGGGAAACCGGGAUUAAUACCGCAUACGAUUGAAAGAUCAAAGCAGCAAUGCGCUAGGAGAUGGGCUCGCGGCCUAUUAGUUAGUUGGUGAGGUAACGGCUCACCAAGGCGAUGACGGGUAGCCGGUCUGAGAGGAUGUCCGGCCACACUGGAACUGAGACACGGUCCAGACACCUACGGGUGGCAGCAGUCGAGAAUCAUUCACAAUGGGGGCAACCCUGAUGGUGCGACGCCGCGUGGGGGAAUGAAGGUCUUCGGAUUGUAAACCCCUGUCAUGUGGGAGCAAAUUAAAAAGAUAGUACCACAAGAGGAAGAGACGGCUAACUCUGUGCCAGCAGCCGCGGUAAUACAGAGGUCUCAAGCGUUGUUCGGAAUCACUGGGCGUAAAGCGUGCGUAGGCUGUUUCGUAAGUCGUGUGUGAAAGGCAGGGGCUCAACCCCUGGAUUGCACAUGAUCCUGCGAGACUAGAGUAAUGGAGGGGGAACCGGAAUUCUCGGUGUAGCAGUGAAAUGCGUAGAUAUCGAGAGGAACACUCGUGGCGAAGGCGGGUUCCUGGACAUUAACUGACGCUGAGGCACGAAGGCCAGGGGAGCGAAAGGGAUUAGAUACCCCUGUAGUCCUGGCAGUAAACGGUGCACGCUUGGUGUGCGGGGAAUCGACCCCCUGCGUGCCGGAGCUAACGCGUUAAGCGUGCCGCCUGGGGAGUACGGUCGCAAGAUUAAAACUCAAAGAAAUUGACGGGGACCCGCACAAGCGGUGGAGUAUGUGGCUUAAUUCGAUGCAACGCGAAGAACCUUACCUGGGCUUGACAUGUAAUGAACAACAUGUGAAAGCAUGCGACUCUUCGGAGGCGUUACACAGGUGCUGCAUGGCCGUCGUCAGCUCGUGUCGUGAGAUGUUUGGUUAAGUCCAGCAACGAGCGCAACCCCUGUUGCCAGUUACCAGCACGUCAAGGUGGGGACUCUGGCGAGACUGCCCAGAUCAACUGGGAGGAAGGUGGGGACGACGUCAGGUCAGUAUGGCCCUUAUGCCCAGGGCUGCACACGUACUACAAUGCCCAGUACAGAGGGGGCCGAAGCCGCGAGGCGGAGGAAAUCCUGAAAACUGGGCCCAGUUCGGACUGUAGGCUGCAACCCGCCUACACGAAGCCGGAAUCGCUAGUAAUGGCGCAUCAGCUACGGCGCCGUGAAUACGUUCCCGGGUCUUGUACACACCGCCCGUCACAUCAUGGAAGCCGGUCGCACCCGAAGUAUCUGAAGCCAACCGCAAGGAGGCAGGGUCCUAAGGUGAGACUGGUAACUGGGAUG